rnacentral:rRNA from 1 species
UACGGGGGGGGGUAAGCGUUGUUCGGAAUUACUGGGCGUAAAGGGCUCGUAGGCGGCCAACUAAGUCAGACGUGAAAUCCCCCGGCUUAACCUGGGAACUGCGUCUGAUACUGGAAGGCUUGAGUAUGGGAGAGGGAUGUAGAAUUCCAGGUGUAGCGGUGAAAUGCGCAGAUAUCAGGAAGAACACCAAUGGCGAAGGCAGCUCUCUGGGACGGUACUGACGCUGAGACGCGAAAGCGUGGGGAGCGAACAGG